rnacentral:sRNA from 1 species
UGAUACUAGGGUCAAAAGGUCACAUUUUCAUGCUUGCAUGAAAAAUUGUGACUUUGGGACCCACAAAACAUGAAAAAUUCGUCAUAGGGCAUCUGUCACUUUGUGACACUUUACGACAUAAAGUAGCCCGAUUUGGGCGAAUUUUGAAUGGUUUUAGGAUUUUGAAAGUGCAACGCACGAAAAAAUCCGUAUCA